rnacentral:rRNA from 1 species
CACGUAGGGCGAAGCGUUGUCCGGAAUUACUGGGCGUAAAGGGCGCGUAGGCGGCACUGUUAGUCAGGGCGUGAAAAGUCCUGGGGCUCAAACCUGGGAACUGCGCUUGAUACGGCAGAGCUAGAGGAUGGAAGAGGCUCGCGGAAUUCCCCAGUGUAGAGGUGAAAAUUCGUAGAUAUUGGGGAAAGAACACCGGUGGC